UUAGUCUGGCCAGACUUGUCACACAUAUAAUUAUUGUUUUAAGAUUUUAUGGUCGGAUCAAUAAAGUACCACUUACUCCAGAUAUAAUGAGUGCCCAGCUUUUUCUUGAUAUAUUUAUUUAGCUUUAUAGAUUGGGUGAAUCUGUAGGCUGAGAGCACCCAUCCGGGGAACCUGACAUAGAAGUGCUUCCUAUUUUGAUUUUUCAAUCUAACCUGUGCUUUUA